UUAAAGUCUCCUGAGACGAUAAUAAGAGACUGAGGGUGAGAUGUUUGCAGCUGGGACACUUCACUGUGGAUGAGUUCACAAGCUGUCUCUGCAUCAGCUGAGGGGGGGAUGUACACAGUCACAGCUAUUACAUGUGAAAACUCCCGGGGCAGAUAGAACGGACGCAGACUGACUGCCAGUAAUUCAACAUCCUUAGUGCAAAGCCGCUGUUUUACACUGAUGUGUCCAGCAUUACACCAUCUCUCGUUCACAUACGUCGCCAGGCCCUCUCCCUUUCUCUUACCGCUCUUCUUCACGUCUUGGUCCACUCUGACAAAAUGAAAGCCAUCCAGAGUUAGGAUUGAGUCAGGAGUCUGUUCGUUAAGCCAUGUCUCGAUAAACAUCAAUGGGAGACGCCAGUGUUUACAAACAGUGACGUCACGAAGUCAUGUGAUUACCGCGCUGGUUGGCAAGAGGAACCAGAGGAACAAUGGCUGACGAUAACAAUGCGAACUAUCCUUCCGUGAAAUUGUCCGAUUAUGCUCAAUCCUUAUCACCUGAGGCCCGACAAAGAUACGUGAGUAAGCUGAGAUAUCAGGGAAACGGUAAAACCUUGCCAGAUCCCUACAAUUUGAAGACUGUGUGGGUUGACGAUCCUUCAUUGUGGCCGGACAUUUCCUUCACCGACAUUUAUUUUUAAUUGAUUGACACCGUUGGGCAGUUCACCCACCCAAAAAUAUAUAAUUAUGAAUUAAAAAUAAUAUAUCUUCUGUUAAUCUUCAACAAGAUGUCAAAGAAACGUCAAGAAGUUGCUGUAUUUUUUGUCUGCAGUAUGGCUUCUAUGUAACAGUAACAGACCCACAGCAUUGGUGAUCGAAAAUAGGACAAUUCUAAAAAACGAUCGCUAGACGCAUACAGAAACAAAUGUGGUUACAAAUAUGAGGCUGCUGGCUUAAGGAGAUGUUAUUGAAUAUGCUUCAUUCGACUUUAGUAAACUUUCAUCGCCUAAAAAGCGAUCGGUAACACAUGACAACACUGAACCAAACCGAAAGUGUAGAGAUCGCUUCAGGCGAAGGAACGCUUCGUACAACUAACAACUACACAUGAUAUUACCAUUGUGGUAAAUACAUGUGCAAUUUCAUUCAUGAAAAGCGAUAACUUUACGUAUUUGUUUCAAACCCGAUAUCGUUCUCGUAGCAAGCCGUUAUGUUACUGCCAGUUCUUGCCAACCAGCAGCGGUCUUGUACCACGUGACCGUAACAAAUGACGACAUGCUGGCUUUUCCCAUAGGCUGCUCUCUCUAUACUCCUUCUGCUCCCUGGUCAGCCCCACCAACUCAUCCAUCUUAUUCGGGAGAGACCUUACAUUUCCCAUUAUAACGGCUGGAACGGAAGGCUUAUAGCGUCUCCUCUUCUGCCGGUGCUUUGCUCCCGCCCUGCAUCCUCUCGUUGUUCUCUGGAGCUCCGCUGGGAUGUCAUUCACUCUGUCCCAUCGUGACUGCCUUGCCUGGCUCAGCGCCAACAGCUGGUUGCGACUGUAAACAAUGGCGCCGUUUGAGUGGGUCGCCAGCUGCGAAACUUAAGAGUUCCAAAAAAAAGAGCAAAAAAAGUAGGGGAAGCGCCAUCUGAACAUUCAUUGCUGCUCUGUACAAAUGCGAUGCACCCACUUGAAGAAUACAAUAAAAGUAAAGAGAAAAAACUACAAGAACUAUCUAAAAACACCUCGAGUUAACAGGAGCUGCUGUAACUGGCUGCCACUGACAAGGCGCCAUGUUGAAAAAAAAAUGUAAAUAUGUAUUGGACCUGAAGAUGGAAGAAAAAUGGAAAAUAUUUUACCUUUGGUGGUGUACUGUCUCCAUAAAGUAGAGAACACAGAGGUCUAAAUGUUCUUAGAGGUCCAGAUGUUCAUAGAGGUCCAGAUGUUCAUAGAGGUCUAGGUGUUCAUAGAGGUCUAGGUGUUCAUAGAGGUCUAGGUGUUCAUAGAGGUCCAGAUGUUCACAGAGGUCUAGAUGUUCAUGGAGGUCUAGAUGUCCAUUGAGGUCCAGAUGUUCACAGAGGUCUAGAUGUUCAUAGAGGUCUAGAUGUUCAUAGAGGUCCAGAUGUUCACAGAGGUCCAGAUGUUCACAGAGGUCCAGAUGUUCAUAGAGGUCUAGAUGUUCAUGGAGGUCUAGAUGUUCAUUGAGGUCCAGAUAUUCACAGAGGUCCAGAUAUUCAAAGAGGUCUCGAUGUUCAUAGAGGGCUAGAUGUUCAUGGAGGUCUAGAUGUUCACUGAGGUCCAGAUAUUCACAGAGGUGUAGAUGUUCACGGAGGUGUAGAUGUUCACGGAGGUGUAGAUGUUCACGGAGGUGUAGAUGUUCACGGAGGUGUAGAUGUUCACGGAGGUGUAGAUGUUCACGGAGGUGUAGAUGUUCACGGAGGUGUAGAUGUUCACGGAGGUGUAGAUGUUCACGGAGGUGUAGAUGUUCACGGAGGUGUAGAUGUUCACGGAGGUGUAGAUGUUCACGGAGGUGUAGAUGUUCACGGAGGUCUAGAUGUUCACGGAGGUCCAGAUGUUCACAGAGGUCCAGAUGUUCACAGAGGUCUAGAUGUUCACAGAGGUCUAGGUGUUCAUAGAGGUCUAGGUGUUCAUAGAGGUCUAGGUGUUCAUAGAGGUCUAGGUGUUCAUAGAGGUCUAGGUGUUCAUAGAGGUCCAGAUGUUCACAGAGGUUUAGGUGUUCAUAGAGGUUUAGGUGUUCAUAGAGGUCUAGGUGUUCAUAGAGGUCUAGAUGUUCAUUGAGGUCUAGAUGUUCAUGGAGGUCUAGAUGUUCAUUGAGGUCCAGAUAUUCACAGAGGUUUAGAUGUUCAUAGAGGUCUAGGUGUUCAUAGAGGUCUAGAUGUUCAUUGAGGGCUAGAUGUUCAUAGAGGUUUAGAUGUUCAUAGAGGUCUAGGUGUUCAUAGAGGUCUAGAUGUUCAUUGAGGGCUAGAUGUUCACAGAGGUCUAGAUGUUCACGGAGGUCUAGAUGUUCACGGAGGUCUAGAUGUUCACGGAGGUCUAGAUGUUCACGGAGGUCUAGAUGUUCACAGAGGUCUAGAUGUUCACAGAGUUCCAGGUGUUCAUAGAGGUCCAGGUGUUCAUAGAGGUCCAGGUGUUCAUAGAGGUCUAGGUGUUCAUGGAGGUCUCGAUGUUCACAGAGGUCUAGAUGUUCACAGAGGUCCAGAUGUUCACAGAGGUCCAAAUGUUCAUAGAGGUCCAGAUGUUCACAGAGGUCUAGAUGUUCACAGAGGUCUAGAUGUUCACAGAGGUCUAGAUGUUCAUAGAGGUCCAGAUGUU